AGCUUAGUGGUCGGAGCAUUGGUGCGUAAAGCCAAAGGUCCCGGGUACGAUUCCCGG
rnacentral:tRNA from 1 species